CAACCCUCGGGCCCGGUCGCCUCCAGCAGGCGGCCCCGCCCGGCGUUGGGGAUCUGCGAACGCAGCAGGCCCCGAAAAUCAGCGGCGGACCCGCGCGGCCCCUCCCUUGCGUAGUAGCAUCAGCCUCGCAUCGGCGGCCCGCGGGACUCUCCUGCCCCUAAACCCCCCGACAAGCCCGGCCCCCGCGGCCGGCACAA
rnacentral:misc_RNA from 1 species